rnacentral:rRNA from 1 species
UCCUACGGGGCGCAGCAGUAGGGAAUUUUCGUCAAUGGGCGCAAGCCUGAACGAGCAAUGCCGCGUGAACGAGGAAGGUCUUCGGAUCGUAAAGUUCUGUUGAAGGGGAAAAAGAGCGGAGAGAGGAAAUGGUCUCCGAUUGAUAUUACCCUUCGAGGAAGUCACGGCUAACUACGUGCCAGCAGCCGCGGUAAUACGUAGGUGGCGAGCGUUAUCCGGAAUGAUAGGGCGUAAAGGGUGCGUAGGCGGCCUGCUAAGUCUGGAGUGAAAGGUACCGGCUCAACCGGUACAGGAUCUGGAAACUG